rnacentral:misc_RNA from 1 species
GAUGAAGAACGUAGCGAAAUGCGAUACGUAAUGUGAAUUGCAGAAUUCAGUGAAUCAUCGAGUCUUUGAACGCACAUUGCGCCCCUUGGUAUUCCAUGGGGCAUGCCUGUUCGAGCGUCAUUUGUACCUUCAAGCUUUGCUUGGUGUUGGGUGUUUGUCCCGAGGGACUCGCCUUAAAGUAAUUGGCAGCCAGUGUUUGGUUUUGAAGCGCAGCACAAGUCGCGAUUCAAGGCUACACGCCCGCUUCCACAAGCCUUUUUUCACUUUUGACCUCGGAUCAGGUAGGGAUACCCGCUGAACUUAAGCAUAUCAAUAAGCGGAGGA